rnacentral:rRNA from 1 species
UGGCGAACGGGUGAGUAACACGUGGGUAAUCUGCCCUGCACUCUGGGAUAAGCCUGGGAAACUGGGUCUAAUACUGGAUAUGACCUUUCUCCUUAUGGGGUUUGGUGGAAAGUUUUUCGGUGUAGGAUGAGCCCGCGGCCUAUCAGCUUGUUGGUGGGGUGAUGGCCUACCAAGGCGACGACGGGUAGCCGGCCUGAGAGGGUGAUCGGCCACAUUGGGACUGGGAUACGGCCCAG